ACAAAAAUGUAUAUAUUUUUUUUUUAUAAAUACCUAACCAGCAUCUUCCACCUUACACCAAAAAGUAAAAACCAUUUUUUACAAGUUUAGAGGCUAUCUUUGGCACAUAAAGUACAUCUUUUAAUUCCAAAACAAAACCUGAAGACAAUUUCAAUUUUACUUUUCCAACAGCUUCAACUACAACUUUUGUCCCUUACCCCACAA
rnacentral:lncRNA from 1 species